rnacentral:tRNA from 1 species
CAAUGGAUAGUUUAAUAUAAAAUAUUAAUUUUGGAGAUUAAUGACAAGAGUUUAUCUUUCUAUUGA